GGGCAAGUGCCAAAUUCGGUCGCACGAGCGACCGUUUAUCUAUAGGACUCAAAUUUGCUUGUAUUCAUAUACUAUUAUAAUCUAUACAAAACCUUAUUAUUUAGUGGAUAGAUAGUGAAUGAACUUCGGUCUCUAUGGCGACCGAUUAUAAAAAAAACAAAACGCAAGAAAUUUAUGAACGCAUCCAAAAGGUGGUCUCAGCGGCGACCGAUGAACGCGUCGUUAAAAAAAAAAGGUGCAAUGUCAACUCCUCUGUUUACAAAAUCAAAUUUGCCGUAUUUUAGUGAAAAACUAAUAGUUAAAGAUGCCUCCAAGAAAGAAGUAUAAGCUAUCAGAAUUGGCACAAUUUGAAGAAACUGACUGGGAGAAUAUUUUCGAGGGAAUCACAGACGAGCAGGCUGAAAAUUCCGACAUCGGGGGUGAUGAAGAUGCUGAAGAUGACAUGCCAGUUUCAUUUAGACCUGUGGUAACAGUACCUACCAAGAUUUACCAAGUCCUGAUGCUAUUAGUGGGGCCAGUUCUGAGAAGAGUACAUCUUGCAGUAAUGAGAAGGAGAAAUCAAAUAUAUUGCAUAGCAGGGUGAUCAAGCAAGGAUCUAGGAGAGGGCGAGCACGCACAGAAAGUUGGAGGAUUUGACAGUGUUAUGAAUGGUUGUGUUGGUAACCAAAUGGAUGGAUCGAGGAACAAAAUCAGUGAUUAUGACUUCUAAUAUGCAUAGCCCUGCAGAAAUGGAAACUGUCCUACGGACAAACAAGAAAGGUGAGAGAGAUAAUUAGUCUGCCCUAAAAUUAUAUCAGACUAUAAUCAUUCUAUGGGAGGCGUAGACCGAUUUGACCAGUUGAUGUCUUCUUAGGGUCCUAGAUGUGGGGGGACCCUUAUGCUGUAGCGUGGAAAAGUAGACGGUGGUGGAUGAAAAUAUUUUACUUAUAUUAUCUGAGGUUGACUAUAUGUGUACCUAGUUUUCAGUUCCUUUUUGUAUGACUAACUAGUAUUCUGCUGUGAUUAGUUGUAAGACAAAAAUAAUUAUUUUGAUAGUUUUUCUAUUUUUUGUAUUAGAUUUCCAAAGUCUAUUUGGAUGUAAGAAAAGUAUGUUACUAGGAUGUGUAGUUUUCAGUAAAUAUUUAAGUAUGUAAGAUUAACUACUAUCCUGCUGUGAUUAGUUGUAAGACAAAACCUGAGAAUUUUAAGAUUUCUAUGAAAGACUGAAGAUUUAAUGGAAGGUAUAAAGAUAGUACCUACACUAAGAUUUCCCUGAAAGACUGAAAGUCUACUAAAGCUCAUUUGUGUUCAAACUAUAAUUAAUUAUUUAUAUGUUUCUUUGAUUAUCUCCAGUGAAAUAAACGGAUUUAUAUAAUGUU